UACGUAGGGGGCAAGCGUUGUCCGGAAUCAUUGGGCGGAAAGCGCGUGUAGGCGGUUCGGUAAGUCUGCUGUGAAAGUCCAGGGCUCAACCCUGGGAUGCCGGUGGAUACUGUCGGACUAGAGUACGGAAGAGGCGAGUGGAAUUCCCGGUGUAGCGGUGAAAUGCGUAGAUAUCGAGAGGAACACCAGUGGCGAAGGCGAGUCUCUGGACGACUCCUGACACUGAGGCACGAAAGCUAGGGGAGCAAACAGG
rnacentral:rRNA from 1 species